CCCAGUGCUGACACAGGACUGCCAUUCUGUGGUCAGGUCAGGCUGGGCCUGGCAGGCUUCAGCUGAGCCACCCCCCUUUCCCCCUCCCUCAAUAGUAGUGAUGAUCCAAGGAUCAAACUCCCAAGUUCCCACAAACCUUUCCCCCAGGAGGCAACCCAGGACAGCCUGUGCCUCCUGCCAUGGGAUGAGUGGCCUAAGGGGUGGCAGUUGGCCCAGAAAGAAGCGGCCAUGCUGAGGAGCAGGUCAGGCCUCCUAGGCGCUGUAGCCCCUCUGUGCCCCUGCUUGGGAUGGGCCAGGAUCUGGCUUCUUGUUGGAUCAGUGAUGGGGGCUUGGGGAGGCCAUUGGGGAGACAAGAGCAGCACAACCAUGCAAGACUGUCUAAGGUCCUCCGAGGUUCCUUUGGAGUGGAACUCCCCUUUGAUACCCCAGAGUUCUGGUUGACAAGAUGAUCUUCAGACCAAUUCACUUUCCAGCACUUCAGCAUACAUCAAAAACAACGCUGAAGCCUCCUACAACGGCGCUGAAAAAUACAUCUGAAAGGGCCAUCAGGAAAUCCUUCCAUCUAUUCUCCAGAUGUACUUUGUGAUAAACUAUAUUCACAUCAUUCCUUAUGUGUGUCCAUGCAAUAAGAUUUUAAAAGCAUCACUGGUGGAAAUUCCUUCACAGACAACAUGACACUUCUCAGAAGCAGUGUAUACAGGCCCUGACAUAAACUCAGCUGUUAUUGUUAUCUGUUUAUUA